UACGAGGGGUGCAAGCGUUGCUCGGAAUUAUUGGGCGUAAAGGGCGCGUAGGUGGUUACUUAAGUUAAUUGUGAAAGUCCUGGGCUUAACCUGGGGAUUGCAGUUAAUACUGCGUAGCUAGAGUGUUGUAGAGGUAAGCGGAAUUUCCGGUGUAGCGGUGAAAUGCGUAGAUAUCGGAAGGAACAUCGAUGGCGAAGGCAGCUUUCUGGACAAAUACUGACACUGAGGCGCGAAAGCGUGGGGAGCAAACAGG
rnacentral:rRNA from 1 species